rnacentral:rRNA from 1 species
AUCUUGACAUCAUUUGACCGCUUUAGAGAUAGAGUUUUUCUCUUCGGAGGACAAAGUGACUGGUGGUGCAUGGUUGUCGUCAGCUCGUGUCGUGUGAUGUUGGGUUAAGUCCCGCAUCGAGUGCAACCUUUACACUUAGAUGCUAUCCUUCAGUUGUGCACUCUAAGUUGACUGCCGGUAACACACCGGAGGACGGUGGCGAUGACGUCAACUCAUCAUGCCCCUUAUGCUUUGGGCUACACGAGUGCUACAAUGGACCAUACAAAGGGCAGCGAAACCGAGAGGUCAAGCAAAUCCCAUA